rfam:Nomascus leucogenys chromosome 1a, whole genome shotgun sequence.
GAUGGGCGCAGUGGCGUGCUCCUGUAAUCCCAGCUACUCGGGAGGCUGAGAUGGGAGGAUGGCUUGAGCCCAGGGAGGUCGAGACUGCAGUGAACCACAACUGCACCACUGUACUCCAGCCUGGGCAAUAGAGUGAGACCCCAUCUCAA